GAGACUCUGUGCGCGUGCAUAUCAAUAAGCGGAGGAAAAGAAACUAACAAGGAUUCCCCUAGUAACGGCGAGUGAAGCGGGAAGAGCUCAAAUUUGAAAUCUUAAAGGGUUUCCCUUUACGAAUUGUAGUUUAAAGAAGUGUUUUCUGUUGGAGUUUCGGUAAAAGUUCUUUGGAAUAGGACAUCAUAGAGGGUGAGAAUCCCGUAUUUGACCGUUACUUUCCAGCUGUGUGAUACACUUUCAAAGAGUCGGAUUGUUUGGGAAUGCAGUCCAAAAUGGGUGGUAAAUUUCAUCUAAAGCUAAAUAUUGGCGAGAGACCGAUAGCGAACAAGUACCGUGAGGGAAAGAUGAAAAGAACUUUGAAAAGAGAGUUAAACAGUACGUGAAAUUGUCAAAAGGGAAGCGUUUGACACCAGUGUUGUUUAGUUGAAAAUCAAUUCAAUAAUUUUUGAUUUUGAGUAGUAUUGACUUCAUCAGCUUGCUGCUUUCCUUUCGGAAAUUAUUGAAUGCGCUUUUCAGUUAACAAGUCAACAUCAAUUUCUUUUGUUGUAAAAGGGUAAGAGGAAGGUGGCUUACGCUUCGGCGUAAGUGUUUAUAGCCUUUUACCUCUGCAAUCGGAGAGAUUGAGGUCAGCAGCGUAGACUCCUUCGGGGGUUAGAUACACUUGUGCUAAGCUAUAGCCUUGUAUAGACAACUUGUUGACUAUGCUCAGUCAUGUAGCUUACUCGCUUGUGCUAUUUUACCUACGCUUAGGAUGUUGAACUCUAUCACACACAG
rnacentral:rRNA from 1 species